ACCAAUGAAAGGCAGGCUCCCAACAGAUAGAAAACACCUGAAGCUGGUGAUCAGCAGCUUUAGAAAACACCUGAAGUUGGUGAUCAGCAGCUUCCAGAUAAGAUCUCAGCACCCUAAGAGGCAAAAUGGCGGAAUUUAGCCAGUGUACGACCUUUCUUCAGGAACACUCAACUGGUAUCAGUGAUCUAGAUGUAGAAGUCUUGCUGGCUUCCUGCUUUUCUAUGACAUCAUCCUUCAGAAGGUGAGGCACAGGCAAGAACAUAAUGAAAGCACUUCUCCUUCCUGCCAUCAUGUGAAGAAGGAUGU